GCGGCCCACCGACCGAAGGCGCUCGUUCUGCCUGCUUCAGAGAAGCGCCUCUCCUGAGGGAGGCCGGCUCCGCGGCGGGGAAGUCGGUGAUGUAAUGAGGGCAUCUACGCAGAGGCUUCCGUGCUAGGAAGGCUUUUCCAGCUUCUCAGUGCCCAGAAGCCCAGCCAGAGCCCCCCAAGAGUCUCUCUUGCCCCUCUGCUGGCUUCUAGGCCCCAUGAGGCACCUUAGCAGCCUGCCGCAGGCUUAGGAGCCUGUGGAUACUUAGUAUGGGGGUGGGCAACAAAAAAACAGGGGCCAUCGAGUACCCCUUCCUGCCCCAUCAUCAAAUGUGCUGAAUUUGCUGUGCACACUCCAAGGCUCACAGCACCCACUUUUUGGCUCCAGGCAGUGUUGGGCAGAAGCCUUGAUUUGCCCCUCACAGCACCACUGCAGCCUGCCUGCAUACAUCUGCAGCUUUAGAGCCACACGCAUUUGGGCCUGCUCCUCUCACACUCUGUUGUCACCAAGACAAGCCACAGACUGAUGGCUCAGGUGAUGAUGGCCCCCACUGCAUAACACAUGGAGGACUAUCAAGAGUGUCAAAAGAUGCGUGACUGAGUGUGGCUUCCCUCCAGGCACUGCCUUGGAAGUGACAUUGCAAAGGAACGGGUAGACAUGUGCAACUUGGAUGACCUCUUGUCAGGCAUCUUUGACCCCCACACUCACAGCUAUAAAUCCUGCAAUUGACCUUCCCUCUAGAAGAAAGUAGACUGUGGAGACUGCCAUGCAUAGGAGAGACCAGAGACAGGUGGCUGGUGGCUCACCACACUCUUCCCCCAUUGUCUUGCAUGUCUCUGGGAUGCUUCUGGGGUAGCUCAGGUGGAAUGUGGGUUAUGGACCUUCUGAGGCCACCCUUAUCUUCCGCAAGGAAUAGGUCACUGUUUUGAUCUUCCAGGCCUGGACAGUGGCAGUAUAUCCCCAGCACCAAGUACCUCUGGGGCAUGAUGCUUCAAGUCAGGUUUGUGAGCUGAGACCUUGGAGGCUGCUCUGCCGGUGCUGUACCCUGAGUAGGUUUGGCUAUUCAGUACAACAUACCCACCUGCCUCCUGUUCCCUCAGCCUGAUGUUUUACUCUCCUGUUGUACACCUGUCUGUCCUCUCAGAGUGGCUUUCGGUCAGCACUCUGCCCAGAUGCCUUUUCCACAGAGAGAACUUGGGCAUCCUGGUAAGGCUCACCUGGAGCCUCCAGACAGACCACCAUGCAGUCACUGUGUGUGGCUAGGAGCUGUUGAGACUAAAUCGUCUUUCCUGGGUGGAGUGAGCUCACGGUCUAGUGUGGAAACCAAAUCUGCAGCCCAAUAGCCAAGAGAAUCUAGCCAGGGGAGCCCGUCUAGAUACUUGCCUCCACCAGUCACCUCGCCAUGCACAGGCUCGCUGGGAGACAGUGAAAAAGAAUUAAA